GCCGGGUUCGCCCGGCUUCUAGUGGCGAACGGUCGAGUAACACGUAGACAACCUGCCUCCAGGUGGGGAACAACAGUGGGAAACUGCUGCUAAUACCGCAUGUGGUGGGGAAGGGCCUCCUUUCUCAACUAAAGGAGCAAUUCGCCUGGAGAUGGGUCUGCGGCCUAUCAGGUAGUUGGUGGGGUAACGGCCUACCAAGCCGACGACGGGUAGCUGGUCUGAGAGGAUGAUCAGCCGGACGGGGACUGAGACACGGCCCCGACUCCUUCGGGAGGCAGCAAUGAGGGAUAUUGCGCAAUGGGGGAAACCCUGACGCAGCGACGCCGCGUGGGUGAGGAAGUCCUUCGGGAUGUAAAGCCCUUUUGUCGGGGACGAGAACGGACGGUACCCGACGAAUAAGCCCCGGCUAACUACGUGCCAGCCGCCGCGG
rnacentral:rRNA from 1 species